AGUGAACGCUGGCGGCAGGCCUAACACAUGCAAGUCGAGCGGCAGCGGGUCCCCGCGAGGGGAUGCCGGCGAGCGGCGGACGGGUGAGGAACACAUCGGAAUCUGCCUGGUUGUGGGGGAUAACGUAGGGAAACUUACGCUAAUACCGCAUGCGACCCUGAGUCGACGGACUGGGGGUGAAAGUGAGGGACCUUCGGGCCUCACGCGACCAGAUGAGCCGAUGUCGGAUUAGCUAGUUGGCGGGGUAACGGCCCGCCAAGGCGACGAUCCGUAGCUGGUCUGAGAGGAUGAUCAGCCACACUGGGACUGAGACACGGCCCAGACUCCUACGGGAGGCAGCAGUGGGGAAUCUUGGACAA
rnacentral:rRNA from 1 species